UACAGGGGGGGCAAGCGUUGCUCGGAAUCACUGGGCGUAAAGCGCACGUAGGCGGACUCUUAAGUCGGUGGUGAAAUCCUGGAGCUCAACUCCAGAACUGCCUUCGAUACUGAGAGUCUCGAGUCCGAGAGAGGUGAGUGGAACUGCGAGUGUAGAGGUGAAAUUCGUAGAUAUUCGCAAGAACACCAGUGGCGAAGGCGGCUCACUGGCUCGGUACUGACGCUGAGGUGCGAAAGCGUGGGGAGCAAACAGG
rnacentral:rRNA from 1 species